CAUUGUAGACCUUCUGAAAUAUUGCGUGACGCCUUAUCAUCCAGAUAUUCCCGAACCAACUGGAUUGAGUAUUUUUAUGAAAGGUCUUGCAGAACUGGAAAUUGAUAAAAGCCUAAUCUUAAAUGGACAUGUCCUUUCCGUGCUAGCCCACAAGUGGUCCCGUCAGUAUACACAAUCUGAUGCUGACGCAACUUGUAACAGUUGUAACAAAGAUAUAUACAUCUCCCAUUUGAGUACGUGCCCC